rnacentral:lncRNA from 1 species
GCUCAGACAACUGGCAGCUGACACAAAUGCUAAUUCUCCUUAAGACUUCAGCCUCAGGGAGUCAUCCCAAAACAAACAAACAAGAAGAUGUAAGUGUAUAUGUGCAUGUGUAUAUGUAUACAAGGUUAUUUCAAAAACAUACUUGACAUAUGUCAGUUUCAAAUCACUCAAUAUUUCUUGUAGCAUCUUGGGUAAUUGUAGAGAGAAAGUGCCCCAUUUAAUGAAAUCGUGUUCCCUUUUGAAAGCACUUGGGUAACUUGACUCCAGACAGCAUGAGGUUUUAUCUUGUUGUUAUGAAGAUAUAAAGACAUUAUUCAGAUUUAUUUUUUUUAAGAGACAGUCCAAUUAAAAAUGAGAACAUUAUUAUUUGAUAGUUACCUAAUUAGAACAAAUUGCAUUCUUCUUUCCUUCUAACAACAAGAGGAAUACCUGUCUGUUUCCCUUCUGGCUCCAUGGAAUGUGCACACACUCAGAGGAAGCAGAUCGUGUGUCUCAAAGGCCAUGUACACUCCACACAGCUGAAAGUAGUAAUCCAGCCUAGUGUAGAUGUGCUCUGGGAGCACAUGCCUCCCAUCAUCUUCAGAGAGUCUGUGGAAGCAUUCCUGGACAUGGUCAGUGGAGUGGCCCAGCAACAAUAUUAUGAAGUAGAAAGCAGGAGAAAUGAACUUCACUGCACACAAAGUUAAUAAUUUUAUAUACUCUGUCUGUUCUGAUGCGGUGCUAUUUCCACUAGGCUGAGUAAGAGAAUGGAGCAUCUAAAGAAGUUUAAGAAUAUGAACCUUAAAAAAAACUUAAUGGUAAAUACUGAGGAGGAAGAGCAACUACUUAAACUAAGCAAUAAUAUGAAAUAUAUAGCAGUUAUAAAUUGGUCAGGAGUAUAUUUAAACUGGAAAUUAGAAGGGCGAUCAAAAGAGCAAACAUAAAAUGACAUUUCACUUAUGAUAGGGAGGUCAAAAAGAUAAGAUGGUCUAGCAUGGAGACUGAUACAUUUUUGGGAAGAAUUAUGGAAAUGCUUGGGGGAAUUUCAGGAGAUAAAUUCACAGUGGG